CCUACGGGUGGCAGCAGUGGGGAAUAUUGCACAAUGGGGGAAACCCUGAUGCAGCGACGCCGCGUGAGCGAUGAAGUAUUUCGGUAUGUAAAGCUCUAUCAGCAGGGAAGAAAAUGACGGUACCUGACUAAGAAGCCCCGGCGAACUACGUGCCAGCAGCCGCGGUAAUACGGAGGGGGCAAGCGUUCUCCGGAUUUACUGGGUGUAAAGGGAGCGUAGGCGGUCCGGCAAGCCAGAUGUGAAAGCCCGGGGCUCAACCCCGGGACGGCAUUUGGAAAUGUAAGGCUAGAGUGUGGGAGAGGUAGGCGGAAGUCCUAGUGGAGCGGUGAAAUGCGUAGAUAUUAGGAGGAACACCAGUGGCGAAGGCGGCCUGCUGGACGAUGACUGACGUUGAGGCUCGAAAGCGUGGGGAGCAAACAGGAUUAGAUACCCGGGUAGUC
rnacentral:rRNA from 1 species